rnacentral:lncRNA from 1 species
GGAGUCAUCAACUGGGGGAAACAUGGGUGUGGUCGAGAGAUUAAAUUCCACCAUUUUACCCGCGGCAGUGGAUGCCGGUGGAUUCGGGGAGGAUGUGAAAAAUUUGUUAGCUUUGAAGCUAAUGACACGAAAGGGACGGAUCAAUUUUGUUCGGCUCCUGUCUUCGGCCAAGUCACACUGGAGAGUACGACGUCCGAACAAUUCGUCCAGCCUGUUCUCGUAAAAACGCAAAUCCAGUCCAGGACUGGAUUCCCACCGAAAGAAGUGUCGGACGGCUGGUUCUACAACGAGAUCCUGUUCUACACGAAAGUCAUACCCCUGCUCCGGAAGUACGACAAGUGCGACGUUUUGUCCUCCAGCUUCUGCGAGUUCGUGUACGGUGCAACGACUGACAACCAGAACUGCGAGGAGAACGUAAUCGUGCUGAAGGACCUUCGGGAGAAGGGAUUCAAGCCAUGCAUUAACCCUGAUCACUUGGAUGAGGAUCACAUCGAGUUGGUGUUGGACCGACUGGGGAAAUAUCACGCUUUGUCUUUCAUGUGCAAAACAGACAACCCGAGUGGAUUUCAGGAGGUGGCAUCCCAGAUUAAACGGAUCAGCCACGCUGAGGCGAUAUCUUCCUUUGCUGGGAUUAUUACUAAGGAGGCUUUCAGAGAAUGCGUAUUUCGAGGUAUCGAACCAUUGCGAAAGGAGCCGAAGUACGAAGAGAAACUGGUGGAUUUGUGCGCCAACUGCGAAAACGCCUACGAUUGGAUAGACAGGUACGGGUUCGACUCCCGGAAUCGACUCGCCGUCAUCACGCACGGCGAUUUCAAGCUGGACAAUAUGAUGUUCAAAUACCGCGAAGACGGAAAACCUGUCGAAGUUGUGUUCUUUGAUCUCGCCUGGAUCAAACUCUCUUCGCCGGCGAUCGAUACCAGUUAUUUCCUCUUCUACAACGUACCGACGGUUGCUAGGCGAGGUCGCUUGCACCAUCUUCAUCGCGUCUAUCACGAUGCCCUGUCCAAUCACCUGGGUGCCCACGGGGAGAUACCGCUCAUCGAGGACGUGGAACUGGACCUGCGCAAGAAAGGUAUAUUCGCCUACUAUUUCCUUGCGACAGCUUUGCCGACAGUGAGCAGUAUUAUAGCCGGCGACGCGGUCCCACCGCCCCCGAAGUUGGAGGGCCUGCACCAAAGCCAGUAUCAGGAGACGAUGGACACCUAUAUGCAGAAUUUAAGGGAGCGAGGUGGUGUUGGCACGACUGAAAUUUUAGCCGACAUUCUUAGGUUCAUGAUCGAUGAAGAUUUCAUAUUUGAGCGCUGAGGGCCGAAUUCAUCGUACACUGAAAACAAAUUCUCGGCGUUUUGACUAAGGUCCGUUGGUUGCUUUACCAUCUCACUUUUAUUACCAAUUAUUGGUAAUUUUAUCAAGACAGACUGGUAAGCGUACCUAAAAACCGGUAUUUUUACUGUUUUUUUUCGGGUAAGAAUACAAUUUUUAUUGGUAAUCAAUUCUCGGUAACUUUGCCAUUUUAUCUCGAUGAUUCUACCACAGUCGAUAAAAAAAUAUUGGCGUUUUUACCAAGGUCCGGUAAAAUUACCGAGAAAGUUCAAUAAUUUUACCGGGAUUUCUCCGUAAAAUUACCAAUUCCAUAAAUGGUAAUUUUACCAAGAAAAAACUGGGAUCAAAUAACACCCUGAAUUCUUGGUAAUUUUACCCUCUUCUUGGUAAAUACACCGAGAUUUUUUUUUUCAGUGUAGUGAGAAACGUUGGAUGCUCUACAGCCCAUGACAAGACAUACAUUUAAAACAAUUUUUUUCUUAAUCUUGAACAAAUGAUUUAUUUAAAAUAAUUAAAACAGCGUAUAGCAAGUCUUGCUUGACACAAAUGACCAAGAAGUUUCAGCUGGAAACGCCACAGCCCUCUUCAGUUGGAUUAAAAAUAUAAAAAAAUUUGAACGUUUAAGACUUGGAAUUAGGAUGCACCAUAUUACUUUCCAAAGUAGAUGAAUCAAUCAUCAUAGUCACCUCUUUAAUAGCUCCUUUCUUUGGAAGGCGCAAUACGAUUAACAUUGUGAUUAAGGACGGUAUAAGGAGAUCCAUUAACAUAUACAGUACCAUAAAAAGGCGAUUUUGUCAAACCUCGAGUAAAAUUCAGUGGUGAAAUUCUGGAAAUGGAUCCUCCCAAGGGAUUAAAAUAUUUUUCCAUCGCAAAAGUUAUGAGAGAAGCCAACUUAUUUUAAAAUUUUAAAAUACUGGCGAUAUUGUAAUUUUUGUAAGAAAACUGUAAGAAUACAUCAAUUCAAAUAAAAAAAUGUCAGACUUGAAAAAUUGUGUUUUCUCAAAAUUUAAGAUGCUCUUAAGGAGUCAAUUUACCUCUUUUAAAUGGAUGGAAAUUAACUUCUAAGCACGGUGACAUAUUUACGUGUUCUUGUAUAUGCAUUAUUUUCCCCCAUUUUUCAAUCCAUUUAUUUAAAUUUUUAGACAAAAUAAUAAGAUAGUGGUAAUUUGAUUGAUAGGAACCUCAAAGCCAAAACUCUUGAGCUGUUUCAGGUGAAAAGUAUUGGAUAGGUCGAAACAAUUUCAAAACCUAAGAUAACUCUUUCGGUUUCUCGUUUUAAAUUGAAACAAAGAAAGAUACAGGAAGUCAAUCAAAAUUUCGAGUGUGAACCACUUACCGAAAAUAAAAUAAUCUUGUUGAAUCCAUUACCCACCAUAACAUGAAAGGCUAAAUUUCGGCACCAAAUAUUGCGCGGGUUAUAAUAAAAAUAACUCGGCAAUAUGCAUACUUAUUUAAUUGUCGUAAGGUAUAUAUGCUCUUAAAAUUUAAAGAUAAAAUAAUGGUUUGCUUUGAUGCCUCGCAAAUGAGCGACAAAGUGGCUGAUUUUUCAGUCUUUGACUGUGCGUUUACAAAGUAAGUUCUAAUUAGUUGUUACGCCAAUUUCACUUCUUUGAAAAGUUAUCGAUUAUACUUUAAUGCACUUUUGUAAUAGUUUCACUAGCGGAUAUUUUGGCUGUAGUUUUGCUUUCGAAAAGGUGCUGCAGUUCCAUCAAUCAUCCACAGUUAGUGUGCGACUAAAAUUCAGUGAACUGAACCGUGGGUAAGUAAGCCCAAAAAUGAAAUGCAUGCAUGAGCAGGUAAUUCUUUUUCUCUGUUUUCGAUGGAAAUCAAACUAGAGGUGCAAAGAAACUUCUGGACCACAUGACAAUAAGGGGUGCGGAGAUCAUAAUCUGUUGCGAAAAUGAAAGGGCGCUGAUACGGGUUUUAAAAUGGAUAAAUCACUAAAGGGGGUCAAGAAAAUAAGCCCGAAUCAUCUCGGGGAAUUUAGUGUUUUUCGCAAACUGUGGAAAGUCGUCUGUGAAAGCAACACAAGUAAGCAUUCAAACAUUUUCGGAUGAAAAAUUGGAUUUCUAAAAUGGGAAGGCUGAGAACUUUCUGCGUCUUAAGAAACAAAACGUCCAUAACCUCGGGUUAGUUUGAAAUGUUUUGGAUUACCUCGUCCAAAAAUCGUCGCUCCUCCGUAGGGACAUUAACUCGAUUUCCGCAUGAUCCCUUGAAAGCAUGGAUUUAUAUGUAAAAUACGGCUCACGUAGAAAUUGAGAUAGGAAGGCGACGAAAUGUUCAUAGUCAAUGCCUCGUUUUUAAGUUUGUUAUCUAAAGAUCUAUGAGAUCUCCAUCCCGAGAACUAUCUAAGUGGAUUUGUUGCACGCGAAAUAUAAAAGAGAAUUCCUGGGGUAAAAUCGAACAUAGUGGGGUAAAUAGAACAAUAAUUUCUUUUGAAUAAAAUCUUGAUAGAAACGGAAGCGCACACAAAAUUAUUCUUGCCAUAUUAAAAGAAAUUUUUGUUACUAACAAGUUUAUCCUGGUUCUAGAGGUUUUUCGUAGAUCUUGAGUGUUUCUUAUUGAAAUUAAAGUUCUUCUACAUAGAAAAAUAAGGGCUUGCAUGCAUAAUUAUAUGGAAAAAGGCUAGUGAAUAUAGAUUCGCUGAAAUAGAAAUGAAUAUAAUUCUAUAAUUUGACUCACGGUAGAAAGAGCUACAAGUUUUUUUUUUAUAGAGUCAUAGAUCACGACAGGCUAUUCAAAAACAGGCUGUAGCACACAGUCUGCGUAUUUUACAGCAAGUACUUUUAAAAUUUUUAAUAAAAUAAUCGAAAUUUUUAAAAAACAGUGAAAGCAAUAUUAAAAUUUUUAUAAAACUUUUUAAGUACUUUUAAAGUUUCCGCGGUUGUUGCGCCUAAUUGCGCCCUAAAGAGCAGCUACAAUUUUUUUUUUUUUUUUUUUUUUUUAUGCUUAUCGUAAUUACUGUGAAAUUUCACCAUGAGAAUAUCUACUUACGUUGUUGUUUCUUCUACCUGCGACGGUCUCAUUUUAUUGUAAUUUGUGCUUAUAUUAUCAUGGGCUGAGCCUAUAACUCAUUCAUUCUACGAUCUUUGAUCAGAUUUUAUUUGAGUUCACGCCAUUAGAAGCCCCGGAUAGCUUCAGAAGAGUCCUCGUUUUUUAAACGUAGAGAAAAUUCAUAAAAAUUUCACUCUGCAAGUUUAGUCAUGAGUUGUUGAUGUGACAAUUUUUCAGAGGGUCAUCUGAAUAAGAUAAGAUGUCUGCGCGCAAACCGUGGCUUUCAGGUAUUUUUACGGAAGCAGUAGGCAGUAGGAGCCAAUUGUUUCGGAGAUGAUGUGAAAAAAUUAGUUGACUUUAAAUCUGCUAAUGACAAGUCACGCACGGCUCAAUUUAGCUCUAUUGUGGAGUUCGGGGAGGUCACGCUGGAGAACACAACUUAUGAAACCGUCAUUCAGCCCGUUCUCAUCAAAACUCAGAUCAGGUAUUGGUCACUCAUGUAGACUCUUUUAAUUGAAUACCAUUUUGGAUUGAAGAAUUCGUACUUCUGACUCAUUUUGGAAACAAUAUAAAGACCGCAAGUUUCCUUAUGAAGAUAAAGGCGACUAUGGAUGAGCCAGAUAUGAAGUUCCUUAUUGCUUAAUCAGGUCCAAUGGAGAUGUUGUAUGUGUAAAGAAUUUGCAAUUUGACCAUUGAUUCUGUUGUAAAAGUUCGUGAGAAACACGAUGAUGCCACUGAUUUUCCCUGAAAUCAACUCCCAAGCUCAAAAAAAGCUCUCAAAUUGAUGCCAAAAUGGCCGGGGAUAUCCCACGCUAUCCUGAGAGUCCACCUCUACAUCAAGACAAACUCUCCAUGCAAAGAUAGGGAGCAAAUACAUUGACAGGGCUGCCACUUUAUUUGGGGACUCUAAAACUGAAAACACGGCAACCCUGCGCUAAUGUAUUGGCUCCCUAUCUUUGCAUGGAGAGUUUGUCUUGGUGUAGAGGUGGACUCUCAGGAUAGCGUGGGAUAUCCCCUCCAUUUUGGCCUCAACUCGAGAGCUUUUUUUGAGCUUGAGAGUUGAUUUCUAGAGAAAACAAGUGGCACCAUCGUAUUUCUCGCAAGCUUUUACAUACGUAUCAAAAGCCAAAUCGCAAAUUCCUCACACAUGCAACAUCUCCAUUGUGAUGUCUCCGAAGGGACCAUCGCGUCGAAUUGGAUCUUAAGCAACUUUAACUGCACUUUGCAACGAGGAGCUACUAUUCCUGCUGGCUCAUCCAUAAAAGCACGUAUCUGCAUAGGGAAAUUAACGGCAGAUACGUUGUUUCUCAAAA